rnacentral:lncRNA from 1 species
CUUCCAACAAAAAGCCAACUAUUUUCUACCUCUAAAAUUAUCCCAUACAAAACAUAUUAAACCGUCUAAUCUAACCUCAUCACUACAAGAAAAACCAUCAAUGGUGGUUUUGGUAGGGCAUUUGCACUGGUGGUGCAGGGCGGUCAACUGGCCCAUUCCCCAGUUCACCUUUUAGCUCAACAAUAUUAGCAGUCAUUUCAAAUUUGGACAAUUAAGGUAGAGGCACCACAUUUGAGAAUUUGUGCUACCAUUGAACUUCAUAUGCCCCUUUCAUCAAGUCAUCGCCCUUUUGCAGUUGUGCAUCCACCUUUGACACAAUAAUUUCCGCAUUUCUAUUCACUGCAUCAACUAAUAGUUGCACAUCACUUCUCCUAUUUUCCAGUUUUCCCACUUCAUCCCUCAAUCCGUGAAUGUACUUAUUU